UACGUAGGGUGCAAGCGUUGUCCGGAAUUAUUGGGCGUAAAGAGCUUGUAGGCGGUUUGUCGCGUCUGCUGUGAAAUUUCGGGGCUCAACCCCGAACUUGCAGUGGGUACGGGCAGACUGGAGUCCGGUAGGGGAGUGUGGAAUUCCUGGUGUAGCGGUGAAAUGCGCAGAUAUCAGGAGGAACACCAACAGCGAAGGCAGCACUCUGGGCCGGUACUGACGCUGAGGAGCGAAAGCUAGGGGAGCAAACGGG
rnacentral:rRNA from 1 species